CUUAAUUGGCUAGGGCUAAUGACUUUUGUCUCCCACAUCAUUUUUUUCCAACACCCAGACGGCCAGACAGGCCAGACAGAACACCAUCAAAGCACAAUUUCCUUUUCAUCUAUCUUCUUCCCUCUCCAAAAGACAAGUACCUUCAUCUUCAUCUACAACCAACCUCCGUGUCUGACUCCACUGAAACUUGCAUCCCUGAUCCCUAAUCAUUAACCCCUCAACUCCCGACCCCAAAAUUUCUUCUCCAACUUAUUCGCGACCCCUUCAUACUUCACCGCACUCCGACACAAUUCCUGCCUCUACAAAAAAACAAAGAAGUAGUUAGUGAAGAGAGGAAGAUGAAUGAGAGGAAGUAGUUAGCAUUCUCCACCUCUCUCUUCUAUCUUCUUUCUUUCCAAGCUGCACUCCCUCAAUUCCUCCCCCAACUCCAAACCCUAUUUUUCCCUCCACUGCCUCUGUUUUCUGCCACGUCGAUCAACACUUGUCUCGGACAAGCCAGUCCUAGACCUUAUACGAGAUGAUGUCCGACGAGCAACACGGGGAUUCUAAGUUCGAUCUCCGAUCGAAAUCUCCACCAGAAAGUCCACAAGCUCCUCGAAUCGGCGCCGUUUCAUCUAGUUUCUGGUGAUGUGAAGUUCACGGUGGUGGCCAAGGAUGGGUUUUGUUAACUGUUGAGGCUUGAGGAAUCUGGAUAAUAGAAGUUGGAGAAGGGAAAGUUGCUGGGUCAGUUUCAAAUCGAAAAUUGUUUUUGUUACAUCUUUUGGAUUGGCUGGGUUAUAGUUUGAAAAAGGGUGAGAGCAGUUGUCAGUUUCUGAUCAUCUGUGGAGGAAAUUUGGUUUGUAGUUUUCAAUCGAUUUGAUUUGCAGAGGGAGCUAGAUUCGUCAGUUUUGUUCUGCUGGAGAAGAAGACAAAUUUGGGUUGUGCAUAUUGAAGGGAGAGAGGUUUGAAGUGGAAGCAAAGAAAAGAGCAUGCUUACAACCCACAUGAGGAGUAUGCAGAUGUGGAAUCCACAUUGCGUUCGCAUUUGGAAUCUUUUCUAGAAACUGCAAGAUCAUUCAAUAUGAUUUACACCAAGGAAAUACGUCCCUGGACACACAUGAUGGAGGUACCCCAGCUCCAUGGGUUCGGGCCUGCAGCCAAUCACUUAUUGGAGGCAUAUAAGAUGCUUUUGAAGAAACCUGUCGAGGAUAAUGUUGAGAAGAAGAAGAAAAGGAAAGAGAUAGGGGAGGAGAGGUAGCAGCCAAUUCACCUAAGCGGAUAUUGAUCAAGUGCGAAAUGAGUAGGAGAAGUUUGUUGUCAACACAUAUGUGCACGAGUCAAGAAGUAGCGCACUUGUUGCU